rnacentral:rRNA from 1 species
AGGGUUUGAUCAUGGCUCAGAACGUACGCUGGCGGCACGCCUAACACAUGCAAGUCGAACGAAGUAGCAAUACUUAGUGGCAGACGGGUGAGUAACAUGUGGGUAUCUGCCCUUUGGCCUGGAAUAACACGAGGAAACUUGUGCUAAUACCGGAUAAGUCUUUACGGAGAAAGCUUUAUGCACCAUUGGAUGAGCCCGCACUUGAUUAGUUUGUUGGUGGGGUAAUGGCCUACCAAGACUGUGAUCAAUAGCUGAUUUGAGAGGAUGAUCAGCCACAUUGGGACUGAGACACGGCCCAAACUCCUACGGGAGGCAGCAGUGGGGAAUCUUGCACAAUGGAGGAAACUCUGAUGCAGCGAUGCCGCGUGAGUGAAGAAGGCCCUUGGGUUGUAAAGCUCUUUCGUCGGGGAAGAAAAUGACUGUACCCGAAUAAGAAGGUCCGGCUAACUUCGUGCCAGCAGCCGCGGUAAUACGAAGGGACCUAGCGUAGUUCGGAAUUACUGGGCUUAAAGAGUUCGUAGGUGGUUGAAAAAGUUAGUGGUGAAAUCCCAGAGCUUAACUCUGGAACUGCCAUUAAAACUUUUCAGCUAGAGUAUGAUAGAGGAAAGCAGAAUUUCUAGUGUAGAGGUGAAAUUCGUAGAUAUUGGGAAGAACACCGGUGGCGAAGGCAGCUUUCUGGAUCAUUACUGACACUGAGGAACGAAAGCAUGGGUAGCGAAGAGGAUUAGAUACCCUCGUAGUCCAUGCCGUAAACGAUGUGUGUUAGACGUUGGAAAUUUAUUUUCAGUGUCGCAGCGAAAGCGAUAAACACACCGCCUGGGGAGUACGACCGCAAGGUUAAAACUCAAAUGAAUUGACGGGGACCCGCACAAGUAGUGGAGCAUGUGGUUUAAUUCGAAGAUACGCGCAGAACCUUACCAACACUUGACAUGUUCGUCGCAACUCUGAGAGAUUAGAGUUUUCGGUUCGGCCGGACGAAACACAGGUGCUGCAUGGCUGUCGUCAGCUCGUGUCGUGAGAUGUUGGGUUAAGUCCCGCAACGAGCGCAACCCUCACUUUUAGUUGCCAUCAUUAAGUUGGGCACUCUGAAAGAACUGCCAGUGAUAAGCUGGAGGAAGGUGGGGAUGACGUCAAGUCCUCAUGGCCCUUACGUGUUGGGCUACACACGUGCUACAAUGGUAUCUACAACAGGAAGCAAGACUGCGAGGUCAAGCAAAUCCUUAAAAGAUACCUCAGUUCGGAUUGCACUCUGCAACUCGAGUGCAUGAAGCUGGAAUUACUAGUAAUCGUGGAUCAGCGUGCCACGGUGAAUGCGUUCCCGGGUCUUGUACACACCGCCCGUCACACCAUGGGAGUUGGUUCUACCUUAAGGCAAGGUUUCAAACCCUUGACCACGGUAUAGUCAGCGACUGGGGUGAAGUCGUAACAAGGUAGCCGUA